rnacentral:rRNA from 1 species
CGGAGGGGGCAAGCGUUGUUCGGAAUUACUGGGCGUAAAGGGCGCGUAGGCGGCCCGCUAAGUCGAACGUGAAAUCCCCGAGCUCAACUCGGGAACUGCGUCCGAUACUGGCGGGCUUGAAUCCGGGAGAGGGAUGCGGAAUUCCAGGUGUAGCGGUGAAAUGCGUUGAUAUCUGGAGGAACACCGGUGGCGAAGGCGGCAUCCUGGACCGGCAUUGACGCUGAGGCGCGAAAGCUAGGGGAGCAAACGGGAUUAGAUACCCCGGUAGUCCUAGCCCUAAACGAUGAAUGCUUGGUGUGGCGGGUAUCGAUCCCUGCCGUGCCGAAGCUAACGCAUUAAGCAUUCCGCCUGGGGAGUACGGUCGCAAGGCUG